rnacentral:rRNA from 1 species
UACGUAGGGUGCGAGCGUUAAUCGGAAUUACUGGGCGUAAAGCGUGCGUAGGCGGUUGGCAAAGUCAGCUGUGAAAGCCCCGGGCUUAACCUGGGAAUGGCGGUUGAAACUAGUCGACUAGAAUCUGGCAGAGGGGGGUGGAAUUCCACGUGUAGCAGUGAAAUGCGUAGAGAUGUGGAGGAACACCGAUGGCGAAGGCAGCCCCCUGGGCUGAGAUUGACGCUCAGGCACGAAAGCGUGGGGAGCAAGCAGG